rnacentral:rRNA from 1 species
GACGAACGCUGGCGGCGUGCCUAAUACAUGCAAGUAGAACGCUGAAGGAGGAGCUUGCUUCUCUGGAUGAGUUGCGAACGGGUGAGUAACGCGUAGGUAACCUGCCUGGUAGCGGGGGAUAACUAUUUGAAACGAUAGCUAAUACCGCAUAAUAUCAGUUGUUGCAUGACAACUGUUUGAAAGGUUCAAUUGCUCCACUACCAGAUGGACCUGCGUUGUAUUAGCUAGUUGGUGGGGUAACGGCUCACCAAGGCGACGAUACAUAUCCGACCUGAGAGGGUGAUCGGACAAACUGGGACUGGGACACGGCCAAGAAUACUACGGGAGGCAGCAGUAGGGAAUCUUCGGAAAUGGAAGGAAGUCUGACCGAGAAACGCCGCGUGAGUGAAGAAGGUUGUCGGAUCGUAAAGCUCUGUUGUAAGAGAAGAACGAGAGUGAGAGUGGAAAGUUCACACUGUGACGGUAACUUAACAGAAAGGGACGGCUAACUACGUG